rnacentral:rRNA from 1 species
CCUACGGGUGGCAGCAGUGAGGAAUAUUGGUCAAUGGCCGGAAGGCUGAACCAGCCAUGCCGCGUGAAGGUCAGUGCCCUAUGGGCGGUAAACCUCUUUUGUCCGGGAGCAAUAAUGGUCACGUGUGGCCAGACGAGAGUACCGUACGACUAAGCAUCAGCUAACUCCGUGCCAGCAGCCGCGGUCAUACGGGGGGUGCAAGCGUUAUCCGGAUUUAUGGGGUUUAAAGGUUGCGGAUGCGGGGGGGUAAGUCAGCGGGGAAAUGCCACCGCUCAACGGGGUGAAGUGCGAUUGAUACUGCCAGGCUGGAGUGCGGAUGCGGUGGGAGGAAUGUGUGGUGUAGCGGUGAAAUGCAUAGAGAUC